ACAGUUCUCAUCAAAUAUUUGAAAGUAUCAAACAAAAAAAGGAGAGUGAGAAAAAUAAAGAGAGAGAUAGAGAGAGAUCAUGUCCACUACUCAAGAGCAUAGGUCUUGAUUGGUGGAAGACAAGUACCUUAGAUAAACCGACCAAAACCCGGUGGAUAAAAUCGAGUUCCAACCUCUUCAACGACAACGAUUUCAACACUCUCUUCCAGGAACAACUUCCUCCAGGCAGAUGAUACUAAAGUGCUGGAGUUCCCGGUUCCUGAGAGUGAGUCCAUAUCAAAAUGCGCAUUCGUUAUCACUUGGUUGAACCCAUUUGGGGAUUUAAAUUUGGAGGUGAAAUGGAACGCGUAAUUGAUGACUCCUACGUGGAACCUCUUCUUAGGAAGAGCACGGUCGAAGAAGUAACUGCGCAGUGCUUAAAUCGUAGAUGCUAAAGUCGUUGAAGAGGACUUGGAACUUCGAUAUUAUCCCCCGUGUUUUGUCCAGUUUCUCUAUAGGUUGUGCCUGAAAAUAUGGGUUUCUAGGUUUAAUUGAUGAAAAGAGAUAACGUAAGUCAUGCACAUGUAAUUAAAUUCAUGCCCCUAACUAUUAAUUCUUGCAAGUAAUUAAAAAAUAAAACGUACACAAAAUAUAUUUAUGAUC
rnacentral:misc_RNA from 1 species